GGGCCUUUGGAGCGGUGCCCUGCUUUGCUGCACGGAUACAGUGCUUGUUACAAACUAGGUAGUAGGCCUGGGCUGGUGCUCUCCCCCUUGUUGUGAGGAAAUCCCUGAGAAAGACAACUUAAGGAAGGAAGGGUUUGCUUUAGCAGCUGGAGUGAGAGGCCGCUGGCCACAGGACACUUACAUAGCACCCGCAAUCAGGAAGCAAAGAGAGAUGAAUGUGCGUGCUCGCCUCCCCUUUCCUUUCCACUCAGCCUAAAACCCCCAGCCCACAGAAUACAUCGUCUACCUUAGAGGAAGUCUUCCUACCUCUACCCAAUUUAGAAAGCCCCUUACACAUAUGGCAGAGGUAUGUCUCCAUGGUGAUUCUAGACUCCCUCGAGUUGACAGUAUUAACCAGCACAGGAGUUAAUUGCCAGGGAUCCUGAGAACACACACAAUUUGGUUUGCUUUAGAAAUACACCAUUUGGUUGCCUGAAAUAAUUUAGUCAGAGGCCAACCCUGGGUACCAUUAAAGUUGUUUUCAUUUUUC
rnacentral:lncRNA from 1 species